rnacentral:misc_RNA from 1 species
AGCAGCCGCGGUAAUUCCAGCUCCAAUAGCGUAUAUUAAAGUUGUUGCAGUUAAAAGCUCGUAGUUGAAUUUCGGGAUCAUCAGGUUGGUCGUGCCUCUGGUAUGUACUGAUUUCGAUGGUCCCUCCUUCUUGAAGAGCCGUAAUGCCAUUAAUUUGGUGUUGCGGGGAAUCAGGACUGUUACUUUGAAAAAUUGAGUGUUUAAAGCAGGCAAUCGCUUGAAUACAUUAGCAUGGAAUAAUGAAAUAGGACGUUCGAUCCUAUUUUG